AUGUACAUUCCUACAUCAUAGCGUUAAUGCAUCAAAUUCCAUUAGAACUCUGCAAUUAAGCAUGCUCAGGCUAGAGUAGUACUAGGAUGGGUGACCGCCUGGGAAUUCCUAGUGUUUUACAUG
rfam:Picea glauca, whole genome shotgun sequence.